rnacentral:misc_RNA from 1 species
UCCACGUUAUCCGCGGCAGUCUCCCAAGAGUCCUCCCCCUUGCGGGGGUAGCAACAUGGGACGAGGGUUGCGCUCGUUGCGGGACUUAACCCAACAUCUCACGACACGAGCUGACGACAACCAUGCAGCACCUCGGCUGGCUCCCUUGCGGGUCAUCCCGUUUUUCAACAGGACUAACACCAGUCGUUCGAGCCCAGGUAAGGUUUUUCGCGUAGCGUCGAAUUAAACCACAUGCUCCACCGCUUGUGCGGGCCCCCGUCAAUUCCUUUGAGUUUUAACCUUGCGGCCGUACUCCCCAGGCGGGACACUUAAUGCGUUAGCGUCGGCACGGAAGGGGUUGAUACCUCCCACACCUAGUGUCCAUCGUUUACGGCGUGGACUAC